GACCUAGUUAAUAGGUAUGCUUUAGGAGGGGCUUGCGCCAUAUUAGUUAGUUGGUAGGGUAAUGGCCUACCAAGACGAUGAUGUGUAGCUGGACUGAGAGGUUGAACAGCCACAUUGGGACUGAGACACGGCCCAAACUCCUACGGGAGGCAGCAGUAGGGAAUUUUCGGCAAUGGAGGAAACUCUGACCGAGCAACGCCGCGUGAAUGACGAAGUACUUCGGUAUGUAAAGUUCUUUUAUCGAGGAAGAAAAGCAAAUGGCGAACCAUUUGUUUGCCGGUACUUGAUGAAUAAGCCCCGGCUAAUUAUGUGCCAGCAGCCGCGGUAAGACAUAAGGGGCAAGUGUUAUCCGGAAUUAUUGGGCGUAAAGGGUGCGUAGGCGGUCUAGUAAGUCAGUGGUGUAAUGUCAACGCUUAACGUUGUCCGGCUAUUGAAACUGCUAAACUUGAGUUAGAUAGAGGCGAGUGGAAUUCCAUGUGUAGCGGUAAAAUGCGUAAAUAUAUGGAGGAACACCAGAGGCGUAGGCGGCUCGCUGGGUCUUAACUGACGCUGAGGCACGAAAGCGUGGGGAGCAAACAGGAUUAGAUACCCUGGUAGUCCACGCCGUAAACGAUGAGUACUAAGUGUCGGGUUAAACCGGUACUGAAGUUAACACAUUAAGUACUCCGCCUGAGUAGUACGUACGCAAGUAUGAAACUUAAAGGAAUUGACGGGACUCCGCACAAGCGGUGGAUCAUGUUGUUUAAUUCGAAGAUACCCGAAAAACCUUACCAGGUCUUGACAUGUUUUUGCAAAAUGAUAGUAAUAUCGUGGAGGUUACCAGAAACACAGGUGGUGCAUGGUUGUCGUCAGCUCGUGUCGUGAGAUGUUAGGUUAAGUCCUAAAACGAGCGAAACCCUUAUCGUUAGUUGCCAGCACGUUAUGGUGGGGACUUUAACGAGACUGCCAAUGAUAAAUUGGAGGAAGGUGAGGAUCACGUCAAAUCAGCAUGCCCCUUAUGACCUGGGCUACAAACGUGAUACAAUGGCUGUUACAAAGGGUAGCUGAAACGCAAGUUCUUGGCCAAUCCCCAAAAACAGUCCCAGUCCGGAUUGAAGUCUGCAACUCGACUUCAUGAAGUUGGAAUCGCUAGUAAUCGCGAAUCAGCAUGUCGCGGUGAAUACGUUCUCGGGGUUUGUACAC
rnacentral:rRNA from 1 species